UGCAAGUCGAGCGCUGAAACCCUUCGGGGUCGAGGCGCGGCGAAAGGGUGAGUAACGCUUGAGCAAGUUGCCUCUAGGACCGGGAUAGCCUCGGGAAACUGAGGGUAAUACCGGAUGGUCUCGCGAAGCCUGCGGGCUAUGCGAGUAAAGGUGGGGAUCUUCGGACCUGCCGCCGAGAGAGACGCUCGGGUCCUACCAGCUAGUUGGUGAGGUAACGGCUCACCAAGGCGAAGACGGGUAGCCGGGCUGAGAGGUCGUCCGGCCACACUGGGACUGAGACACUGCCCAGACUCCUACGGGAGGCUGCAGUCGAGAAUCUUCCGCAAUGGGCGAAAGCCUGACGGAGCGACGCCGCGUGGAGGACGAAGGCCUUCGGGUUGUAAACUCCUGUCAGGGUUUAAGAAUGCGGGCGGGUUAAUAGCCACGUUCGUUGACGAAGGACCCAAAGGAAGCCACAGCUAACUUCGUGCCAGCAGCUGCGGUAAUACGAAGGUGGCGAGCGUUGUUCGGAUUCACUGGGCAUAAAGGGCGCGUAGGCUGCCCUGUAAGCGGCGUGUGAAAUCCCGGAGCUCAACUCCGGAACUGCAUGCUGAACUGCAGGGCUAGAGGUCAAGAGGGGGGUGUGGAACUCCAGGUGGAGCGGUGAAAUGCGUAGAU
rnacentral:rRNA from 1 species